rnacentral:lncRNA from 1 species
GUCACGUGAACGGCAAAAGACUCUUACACACAUCAUUUUAAAAUGAUGUAAACAAGGCAACAAAUACAUUAGUUUAAAUCAGUCUUCCGAAUUUAUGAGUGAACCAACAAUGUUAGAAGUUCCAUAUGUCAAUUUGUUAACUAAAGAAUAAGAAGUCAACUUUUACAUGAUAUGAGUUAAUCAAAAGAGAAUGACAAGCUGGGGAUGUUAAUACCUGCUUCAGCUUCUCUAGAUUGUCAUUGUCUCGAAAACAACUCCCAUCUUUAUAAAUAGUUUAAUACACACAUUGUCCAACGCUAUAAACUAUGUAGCGAAAUCCCCUGCUUACGUGAAAUUGGUUUUCGUCCGUAAGAUGUCGCUUUUUAUGAUACCACAGACGAUAUUUAUUGAUCAUUUUUUCUCAUGACGCUUAUAAUUUUGUCUUCCCUUCGCAGAACCACCAUUGAAUUCUACAGACAACGAAUAUAGCUUGUUUUCCUUUAUAAUUCGGCCUGAUAAUUUCAGGUCACUAGACAGGGGCAUCUGGAGGGUGUAGGCUAUAGGGGGUAUAGCCCUCCCCUCCAAAGUUAAGGAAUUUUUGUUGUUAGACCGGGAAAAAUUAAAAAUUAUCGCUUAAGAAGAAAAAACUUAAUGAGAAAACAGGGGUCAAUUUUUUUUUUGGAAGGACUUCUUUUCUUUAAAAAAAAGAAAGUAAUUAUACAUAUAAUCUUGUAAACACCCCUGCUAGAAUUCCAUGGCAUAGCUCCGCUCCAAUAGGGCAUGAGCCAACUUAAAAAAUAUAUAUAAUAUCUGCAAGGUGGUAUGACAGUCUGUAGCUUCUCUCAAAAUUGGUGCAUUCUAGUAAUAAUUUUCACAGCACCCUCUAUGUGUAUACAUAUUCUAUUCUUUAUUAAAUAAUAUUAUCAUUCUGGGAGUUAUAUUAUUUUGCCACACGACGGCGCCACUCUUUGUCGCUGUGUUUAUUAAAGAAUAUAAAUAAACAAUUGUCAUUCUCACUUAGACAUACAUUGAUCACGUGAUCUUUGUUUCGCUAUUUGGUUAAUUAUAGCUUUGAUGUAGUCUAAGUUAUGUAUUGAAUGUAAUAUUACGCAUGCUCCGUUAAAAACAUUUGUUUAAAGAAGCAAAUGUGGGUGACACGUGAAAGUAUGAGAGAGGGAUGUAUAAGUAUAUACAUAUGUAUAUUUCUCUUAAGUAUACGCUUCAUGAGUUACUGCUAGCUUUCAGGAUGUAAUAAACUUGUUUUAUUUCCAUUCAAAAUUUGAAUCAUUGAAAUGAUAGUUAUACAAUUAAGACGAGAGUAAAGUAAUAUAUUCAACAUACAACGAUUAACUUUUCUAGGAAGCCUUAACAUAAAUUGUAGAAAAUCAAUCCUUUCAGAAGUCAAAAUACCUACAUAUAAACAUUCUAUUGCAAUCAGGAAUGUAUCUAUAUUGUAAUAUUUGUUUUCAUUGGACAGUUAUUGAUUCUACGAGUAGACCUCAUAAUUAAUCAUUAUCUAAUGCAUACUUUAACUAAGAAUAUGUGUCUUCAUAUAUCUAAAUAUUUGAGUCAUAACGAUUUAUUAACAUUCAAAAUGAAUAAUGUACUAACACUUCCUCCUUGGUGGUGUAAAAUAUUAAGAUGAAGAGGUCAAAGGUAUCUUUCAAGAGGCAAAAUGUUGUACUAUUUAAUAAAUUUUAUUGUUAAAGAAAAAGGAUAUUUAUCUUUUUGCAAAAUAGAAUCGUCCGACAAUUAUGAACCUGUCAAACAACAUAUUAAUUUUUCUUUCUUGAUAUAAUUUGGUUUCUCUACCGUACCUACAAACAAUUUCGCUUUGAAUCAGUCACAUAGGAAAAUAUGGAUUGGACAGAUAUUUUUCUCAGUUGUUGAUGCCGUCAAAUAUGUUUUUACAAAGAAUUCUUGCGCUGAACAAAAGCAAGGGAUUUUUCUUUUAAAGCCGAAAGUUUGUUGACCAAAAAAUGAAUGAUAUCUUCAACACAUCAACAACUUCUAUGAAUGUAAAGUUCGUCAGCUGCCCAUUUUUAUAUGCUAUUGAUCCGUACAUGUCAGACCUGGAGAGUAACCAAGGGGCAAUUGCCUCCACUUUAGAAAAAAAACACAAUAUUAAUGCUCUGUGAUUAUGGUACAAUCAAAAUGCAGAGGUGAACAAAAAGUACUUCGAAUGUACUUUAGCAGUAAGUACAUUUAAAAGAAAGUACUGAAGUACUACUUCUAAAGAUGCCACCACGUAAUUGAACCUGCAAGUGGGGGCUAACAUGGUGUGGGUGACAAAGAAUUUCUUUUGAUGUAUGUUUGCUGACUUUACAUAGCAACAAAGCACCCUCAGUAGUUUGGUGCUUCAUGUGCUUUGUCUUAUAUUUCUACUACAAACAGCAACAGAAAAUGGGAGGAGGGAGAAAUGCAAAAAAACAUAUCAUUUUCUAAUCUACUCAAAAUAUACUGAAAAACUUUGAGUGUUGGGCUUCUGUCUGGAAAUCCUAAGCCGGUCUGAAACCGUUAUGACUUUUAGAGGACCGAACUAAUUUGAGAAUUUAAAGAAGUUUGGUCUGAACUGGUCUCAAAGAAAAAUUCGGUCUGGAUCGAUCU